GGGAACUGACGCUUGUUUUGUUUUGUUUUAAACCGCUGUUUCGUUUCUCUUAUCUGCACAGUUGAUCCCCGUAUGAAAGUUGAAACGGAAGGAAAAAGCGAUAGCAGAGUUACUUCCGUGUUUUGAGACAAAGACAACAAUAUUAUCUCGUAAUUGUGUCAUGCAGACAUUCAAACAGAUCACAUGUACCAACCCACACGCCUGACUGACUGAGUUUGGUUUUACGCCGCUUUUAGCAAUAUUCCAGCAACAUCACGGCGGGGGACACCAGAAAUGGGCUUCAUACAUUGUGCCCAUUGGGGACAUCGAACCCGGGUACUCAGCGUGAUUCGCGAACGCCUUAACCACUAGGCUACCCACCGCCCCUAGGAACUGUGUUAGGUCCUCGUGAACUUUGUCGUGGUGGAUUCAUGAGGGUACAUGAUAGUUUAAUUCACUGUAAAACUGCGUUCAAUUGUAUGAUAUUAUUAUUUUUAAGUCAUUUCAGCGAAAUGUACACAAGAGUGAUCUCUAGUCAAAUGCACAUAGCAGUGAGCUCAAGCCAUCUGUUAAUAUCCGUUACCUCUGCUCUCCUAUGCACUCUCUAUGCAUUUAAAUCUAUUGUUAUUCCAACGUUGUUAUAUAUUGCUGCUAUAUCGCAACAUGUCAGCUGUACACAAUAAUCUUCGGUCAUCAUUUAAGCCAAGACUGUUUUAUGUCAAGUCACUACCACGUGGCAUUUAUAACAAUGUUUAAAAUCUCUUGCAAACGUUAACGUAUGCACAAUAUUCACGCCUUAUGUACUAUAUGUUUCUUCAAUAUUAUUUUUCUUAAGUUUGUUUUUAUAAUCACAAAGCAGAACGUCUCAUGUUAUUGAUAUAUGAUUUCGAAAUAAAACAAAACCUACUCUU